GACGAACGCUGGCGGCGUGCCUAAUACAUGCAAGUCGAGCGGACGGAUGGGAGCUUGCUCCCUGAAGUCAGCGGCGGACGGGUGAGUAACACGUGGGCAACCUGCCUGUAAGACUGGGAUAACUCCGGGAAACCGGGGCUAAUACCGGAUAACUCUUUUCCUCACAUGAGGAAAAGCUGAAAGAUGGUUUCGGCUAUCACUUACAGAUGGGCCCGCGGCGCAUUAGCUAGUUGGUGAGGUAACGGCUCACCAAGGCCACGAUGCGUAGCCGACCUGAGAGGGUGAUCGGCCACACUGGGACUGAGACACGGCCCAGACUCCUACGGGAGGCAGCAGUAGGGAAUCUUCCGCAAUGGACGAAAGUCUGACGGAGCAACGCCGCGUGAGUGAUGAAGGUUUUCGGAUCGUAAAACUCUGUUGUCAGGGAAGAACAAGUACCGGAGUAACUGCCGGUACCUUGACGGUACCUGACCAGAAAGCCACGGCUAACUACGUGCCAGCGCC
rnacentral:rRNA from 1 species